AGAUGUUUAUCGUGGUUUUGCCAAGGUGGGAAACUUCACGUUGUCAUUCCUUGCUAGAAGGUUUCUGAGGAAUUGCCAAAGUGAUUUCCAAAGUGGUUGUACAAGUUUGCAUUCCAAUCAGCAAAGGAGAAGUGUUACCCUUGCUCCACAUCCUCCCUGAAGCCACAUAGCCAUGUGUGUACAGCCUGUGAAGCCAGAAGACCCUUCUUACUUUACACUGCAGCAUCAGGUGCUUCAUGCAGUCCUGUGCUCUACCCUCCUGGUGCCAUUCAGUGGACUCUGGAAAACACCGUGGUCUAGCUACAACUGAGGUUAGGGAACCUGAAGCUCCAGCAGAUAUAAUGACAAUGUCUCUCAGCAUAAACAGUGGAACCUAUGGCUUUGGGAAAUGGCCCAGUUGGUGAAGAUGAAGAACCGAGUUUGAGGUCCGGGACCCAUAGCAAGUUCUUUGAUCCACUCCAGAACCUUCAGAGAUCCCUGGGACUAAACAACCAACCAUGGAGGGACCCAUGGCUGAAUAUGUGUCAGAGGAUGGCCUUAUCUGACAUCAAUGGGUAGAGAAUCCCUUGGUCCUGUGAAGGCUUGAUGACCUAGUGUAGGGAAAUACCAGGGUGGUGAG